UACGUAGGGUGCAAGCGUUGUCCGGAAUUAUUGGGCGUAAAGAGCUCGUAGGCUGUUUGUCGCGUCUGCUGUGAAAACUCAGGGCUUAACUCUGAGCUUGCAGUGGGUACGGGCAGACUAGAGUGCGGUAGGGGAGACUGGAAUUCCUGGUGUAGCGGUGAAAUGCGCAGAUAUCAGGAGGAACACCGGUGGCGAAGGCGGGUCUCUGGGCCGUAACUGACGCUGAGGAGCGAAAGCAUGGGGAGCGAUCCGG
rnacentral:rRNA from 1 species